CCCGAGGAUGGGACCCGGCCUAUCGGUCUGUUGGCGGCUGACGGAUCCCACUGGUGGACGGGUACGGACGAUGGGAUUUACAGCCCGGACAUGGGGACUGAAAAAGGCCCCGGCCCUAGAGGCGCAUCUCCCUUGAAAACUCCGCAAUGCACGAAAGCCUAUUUCGGGAACCCCUUGUGCACCCGGUCUUUAAUCCUUUGCUUUUAAGGAUUCUAACAACCUCCCGGAAUGCGGGCUGGACAAGUCGGGUGCCAGCCGCCGCGGUAAUACCCCUUAUUCUGGGAGCUUCUUCGAUUAUUGGGCCUAAAGCGCUCGUAGCCGGGUCAUCUUGCCCUUGUGAAAUCACGCUUUCUAACCGUUCGGAUUUUUCGUACCUGCGUUGCUCUUGAGGCCCGGGGACCUUGGAGGUACUCCCAUCUCCGGGCUAAAAUGCUGUAAUCCUCGGGGGACCACCAGUUUGGAAGGCGUCACACGACAACGGACCUGAUAGUGAGGGGCGAAGGCCUCGGGACCCAACGGAAUUAGAUACCCCGGUAUUCCUAGCGUGUACACACAU
rnacentral:rRNA from 1 species